ACCCAGGGACAACAGAGGCUCUCAAAAUGAACACUCCUCUAGGGCCACUGACUGUGCUAGUCUUGGUGCUUGGGGAAAGCAGUGGAGACUCGGUGACCCAGACAGAAGGACAACUGACCCUCUCUGAGGGGGCUUCGCUGACUGUGAACUGCUCCUAUGAAACCACACAAUACCCGGCGCUUCUCUGGUAUGUCCAGUAUCCUGGUGAAGGUCCACAGCUCCUCCUGAAGGCCACAAAGGCCAAUGAUAAGGGAAGCAACAGAGGUUUCGAAGCCUUGUACAACAAAGAAGCCACCUCCUUCCACUUGCAGAAAGCUGUGGUUCAAGAGUCAGACUCGGCUGUGUACUACUGUGCUCUGAGUGACACAGUGACAGGAACUGCAGGGGGAGCCGCACACAAACCAAGGCGCAGUGAGGGGCCAGGUGCAGAGUGCCUGCCUCUGUGA